rnacentral:rRNA from 1 species
AACGCGAAGAACCUUACCUACCCUUGACUGCCAGGAAGCCCGCUGAGAGGUGGGUGUGCCCGAAAGGGGGCCUGGACACAGGUGCUGCAUGGCUGUCGUCAGCUCGUGUCGUGAGAUGUUGGGUUAAGUCCCGCAACGAGCGCAACCCUUGUCACUAGUUGCUACGCAAGGGCACUCUAGUGAGACUGCCGGUGACAAACCGGAGGAAGGUGGGGAUGACGUCAAGUCCUCAUGGCCCUUAUGGGUAGGGCUUCACACGUCAUACAAUGGCGCAUACAAAGGGCUGCCAACCCGCGAGGGGGAGCCAAUCCCAGAAAGUGCGUCGUAGUCCGGAUUGCAGUCUGCAACUCGACUGCAUGAAGUCGGAAUCGCUAGUAAUCGCGGAUCAGCAAUGUCGCGGUGAAUACGUUCCCGGGUCUUGUACACACCG